rnacentral:tRNA from 1 species
UGUCUUAGAAUUAAGUGUUUAUGUGGUUAGAGCAUCUGACUCAUAAUCAGAGGGUCACUGGUUCGAGCCCAGUUGGGACCACCC